AUGGCCCGGGCAGCUCCGGACAUCCCCGGUGGCGCUGGGACCACCGGCGGGCGCGGAACGAAGUGCUGCUCCCUCCUGGAGCAGGAGCAGGAGCUGGGGAGGCCUGGAGUGACAGUGGCUCGCAAAGGCCAAGAGCUGCAACGGCAGCCGGACCUUGGAGGUGACGGCCACAGCCACUCCGGCAACAAGGUGAGGGCAUGGGGAGGACCGCGGGAGUACUGGGAAUCCGAUGGUAGUGGUGGGAGGGGUGGACAAGCUCGGCAGUGCCGAAAUUUAGCCAGAACUGAGCAGCGGCCAUGGCGGCGAUGGGGGUCUAGGAGGAGCCCUCGAGCUCUGGGAAGUGGAUGGGCGGGGCUAGAGAAGGUGCAGGAGACGAGUGGUGAGGGGAGACGAGGUUGGGGAGGCCUUAAAUAG
rnacentral:rRNA from 1 species